AUUGAACGCUGGCGGCAUGCCUUACGCAUGCAAGUCGAACGGUAACAGGUCUUCGGAUGCUGACGAGUGGCGAACGGGUGAGUAAUACAUCGGAACGCGCCUAGUAGUGGGGGAUAACUACUCGAAAGAGUGGCUAAUACCGCAUGAGAUCUACGGAUGAAAGCAGGGGAUCGCAAGACCUUGUGCUACUAGAGCGGCCGAUGGCAGAUUAGGUAGUUGGUGGGAUAAAAGCUUACCAAGCCGACGAUCUGUAGCUGGUCUGAGAGGACGAUCAGCCACACGGGGACUGAGACACGGCCCAGACUCCUACGGGAGGCAGCAGUGUGGAAUUUUGGACAAUGGGCCCAAGCCUGAGCCAGCAAUGCCGCGGGCAGGAUGAAGUCUUUCGGGUUGUCAGCUGCUUGUGUACGGACCGAAAAACGCUGGGGUACUACCCUGGGCGCAUGACGCUACCGUAAGAAUACGCACCGGCUAACUACGUGCCAGCCGCCGCCGUAAGAC
rnacentral:rRNA from 1 species